ACGGGUGAGUAACACGUAUCCAACCUGCCGUCUACUCUUGGACAGCCCUCUGAAAGGAAAGAUUAAUACAAGAUGGCAUCAUGAGUCCACAUGUUCACAUGAUUAAAGGUAUUCCGGUAGACGAUGGGGAUGCGUUCCAUUAGAUAGUAGGCGGGGUAACGGCCCACCUAGUCUUCGAUGGAUAGGGGUUCUGAGAGGAAGGUCCCCCACAUUGGAACUGAGACACGGUCCAA
rnacentral:rRNA from 1 species